UCACAAUGAUGAUUUUGUCUAAUCAUUCGCAGUUUCUACCAGAAUGGUAUUUUCCUGCAUGAUGGCAAACCCUUCCUUGGAUGUCUGAGUGA